AUGCCUCUGAAUGAGAAUCCUGAUGCUAUCUCCUGGUCCCUGAAUAGUGGAGGUAGAUUCACCACUAAAUCUGUAUAUAAAUGGCUGGAGAGAGAUCUAUCUGGCCCUAAUUAUAAAUGGGUGUGGAAAGCGGCAAUCCCGUUGAAAAUAAAAAUAUUUCUAUGGCAAUUAUUCCAAGAUGCUGUUCUCACGCGCGAUAACAUGCGGCGGAGGAAUUGGCCAGGAAAUCCUAUGUGCUCUUUUUGUACUAAUGUGGAAACUGCUAACCAUCUUUUUUUCGCUUGCCCUCUCGCCCGCACAGUUUGGGGGGUGCUGGGGUUGACUGUUGGGGCUUCCUGUGCUCCCAGAUCAAUCUGGCAAAGUCUGGCUUGGAUGUACAAUUUGCUUCCUGGAGGCAAAAAAUUCUAUAUGAUGAUCAUUGCUGCAGUGUGCUGGGGGAUUUGGUGCCUUCGCAACAAAACUACUUUUGAUAAGUAUAAUGCUCGUUCUCCGCUGGAGGCUGUCUUCACCGCUUGCUCUUUUAUGUUAUACUAG
rnacentral:rRNA from 1 species